CCUACGGGGGGCUGCAGUGGGGAAUAUUGGACAAUGGGGGGAACCCUGAUCCAGCCAUGCCGCGUGUGUGAAGAAGGCCCUCGGGUUGUAAAGCACUUUCAGUGAGGAAGAACGCCUGGUGGUUAAUACCCAUCAGGAAAGACAUCACUCACAGAAGAAGCACCGGCUAACUCCGUGCCAGCAGCCGCGGUAAUACGGAGGGUGCGAGCGUUAAUCGGAAUUACUGGGCGUAAAGCGCGCGUAGGUGGCUUGAUAAGCCGGUUGUGAAAGCCCCGGGCUCAACCUGGGAACGGCAUCCGGAACUGUCAAGCUAGAGUGCAGGAGAGGAAGGUAGAAUUCCCGGUGUAGCGGUGAAAUGCGUAGAGAUCGGGAGGAAUACCAGUGGCGAAGGCGGCCUUCUGGACUGACACUGACACUGGGGUGCGAAAGCGUGGGUAGCAAACAGGAUUAGAUACCCGGGUAGUC
rnacentral:rRNA from 1 species